CUCCCUAUGGCUCAGUUGGUAGAGCAUGGAGUUUGCAACGCCAGCAUGGUGUUUGCAACGCCAGGGUUGUGGGUUCGAUUCCCACGGGGGGC
rnacentral:tRNA from 1 species